CCUACGGGCGGCAGCAGUGGGGAAUAUUGCACAAUGGGGGAAACCCUGAUGCAGCAACGCCGCGUGAGUGAUGACGGCCUUCGGGUUGUUAAGCUCUGUCUUCACGGACGUUAAUGACGGUACCUGUGGUGGUAGCCACGGACAACUACGUGCCAGCAGCCGCGGUAAUACGUAGGUGGCGGGCGUUGUCCGGAUUUACUGGGCGUUAAGGGAGCGUAGGCGGACUUUUAAGGGCGAUGUGCAAUACUCGGGCUCAACUUGGGUGCUGCAUUGCAAACUGGAAGGCUAGAGUGCAGGAGAGGAGAAUGGAAUUCCUAGUGUAGCGGUGAAAUGCUUAGAGAUUAGGAAGAACACCGGUGGCGAAGGCGAUACACGGGACUGUAACUGACGCUGAGGCUCGAAAGCGUGGGGAGCAAACAGGAUUAGAUACCCGGGUAGUC
rnacentral:rRNA from 1 species